UCGAGAAUCUUCGUCAAUGGGCGAAAGCCUGAACGAGCGAUGCCGCGUGCGGGAGGAAGAUCUUCGGAUUGUAAACCGCUGUCAGUGAAAGGGAAAUGCCAUGGGGUUCUCCCCUUGGUUUGACCCGAUUUCAGAGGAAGGACGGGCUAAGUUCGUGCCAGCAGCCGCGGUAAUACGAACCGUCCAAACGUUAUUCGGAAUCACUGGGCUUACAGGGUGCGCAGGCGGCCUUUUAAGUCAGGUGUGAAAUCCCCCGGCUCAACCGGGGAACUGCAUCUGAUACUGGAAGGCUUGAGGGAGACAGGGGUGAGUGGAACUGAGGGUGGAGCGGUGAAAUGCGUUGAUAUCCUCAGGAACACCGGUGGCGAAAGCGACUCACUGGGUCUCUUCUGACGCUCAUGCACGAAAGCCAGGGUAGCGAACG
rnacentral:rRNA from 1 species